CACCACCGGCGGACGGCUCAGUAACACGUCGGUAACCUACCCUCGGGAGGGGGAUAACCCCGGGAAACUGGGGCUAAUUCCCCAUAGGCCUGAGGUACUGGAAGGUCCUCAGGCCGAAAGGGACUUAUGUCCGCCCGAGGAUGGGCCGGCGGCCGAUUAGGUAGUUGGUGGGGUAAUGGCCCACCAAGCCGAAGAUCGGUACGGGCUGUGAGAGCAGGAGCCCGGAGAUGGACACUGAGACACGGGUCCAGGCCUUACGGGGCGCAGCAGGCGCGAAACCUCCGCAAUGCGGGAAACCGCGACGGGGGGACCCCGAGUGCCGUGGCAACGCCACGGCUUUUCCGGAGUGUAAAAAGCUCCGGGAAUAAGGGCUGGGCAAGGCCGGUGGCAGCCGCCGCGGUAAUACCGGCGGCCCGAGGGGUGGGCGCUAUUAUUGGGCCUAAAGCGUCCGUAGCCGGGCCCGUAAGUCCCUGGCGAAAUCGCGCGGCUCACCGUGGGGCUUGCUGGGGAUACUGCGGGGUCUUGGGACCGGGAGAGGCGGGG
rnacentral:rRNA from 1 species